rnacentral:misc_RNA from 1 species
GAAGUGCGAUAAGCAAUGCGAAUUGCAGAAUUCCGCGAAUCAUCAGAUCUUUGAACGCAAAUGGCGCCAAGGGGAUAUCUCUUUGGCAUGUCUGUUUCAGUGUCUGAGAGGUUUCACAAUUACCUUAAUGUGAUUGAACUCAAAAACUGUUAGGGUGUAAAAACUUUAACAGUCUUAACUGUUCUCUCAUGAAAAAUGCGCGAGUGGAUCUUUCGGUCCAAUGAAGUGGUCACAUCACUCGAAUGUGAUUUCAUUGGAAGCACCGAAUUAUCAUUUAAUAAAACUCGUGGUACCAUGAAAUCAAUUCUUAUUUGUUGUUUAUCAAUAAAUAAUAAUACUCUCCAUACCCUGCAUCUGAGAUAGGCAAGAUCACCCGCUGAACUUAA